AUGCUGAUCAGAGGGUGGUCGCCGCAGGUGCUUAUCCUGAACCACGCCGUGGUGGGCGGCUUCGUGACGCACUGUGGAUGGAACUCGACACUGGAGGCCAUCGCGGCCGGGCUGCCGGUCAUGACAUGGCCGCACUUCUCGGACCAGUUCUUGAAUGAGAAGCUAGCUGUGGAGGUGCUCGGAAUUGGUGUGAGCGUCGGGAUCAAGGAGCCGUUGAUGUGGGUGGCGAAGAAGAAGAUCGUGGUGGGGAGAGAGGUGGUGGAGGCCACCGUCAGGAGCAUCAUGGACGGGGGAGGAAAGGGAAAGGAGAGAAGGAGGAAAGCACUGUCUCUCUCCGAGAAGGCAAGGACGGCCGUGCAAAAGGGCGGGUCAUCACUUGGCAACCUGCUAGAUCUGAUCAAGCAUUUCGAGGUGGACGCGGGAGGUUGCCCGGCCGUGCAGAAGGACGCGUAA
rnacentral:rRNA from 1 species